CUUGAAGGUUUCAUUGUCUUAUUGCGACAAGUAUAUUUAGUAGAUAUAGUUAUAUACCAUAGUAAAUUUAUCCUUGAUAUUCCGAACGAUUACGCCCGAAGAAGAGACGAUAGUCCUGCUUCGUCACUAAAAUUCUCUGCAAUUGUUCUGCAUUGCCGUUAUAUUCUGUGAUAGCAUCGGGACAAAAAAUUAAAAGUACUGUACCACUUAGCAAAGCUUAUCGCAUUAUGCAGUAACGGGUACUCUAGACACGCGUGCCUGUCCGCUUCUCACGUAAUAACGUCGGAAAGGCGGCAAUCGAUGCAGAUAAAAUAUUCGUGGGCAGUAUUCGCGCCGCUUUUCCAGGAAGCAACCUGAACGAGCGGCGUCAGUACUAUAGGAAGCACUGAUAAAGCAUGUACCGGCGUUGUUUCACGGUCCCCGACGUGGUCGCCACGAGAGAGACACCGGUUGUGCGUUGCGUGCGACGCCAGGCGUCGGUCUAGGCGUCGUGGCGCCUCGACUUACCCUCCCCGUCUGUCAGUCGCCACGUAGGGUUAAACAGAAGCUCGAAGGUAGACUGACCUCGCAGACGUAGCUGUCCUUGGCCUCGGAAAAAGCCAAAAUUAGAAAUGGCACUUGGUAACGCGGAGAAAGAGAUUGGAGAAUGUUCAUACAGAAAGGGAAGUGAUGGGAAGUGGCAGAGGUCUGCUGUACAGUUGUCUGGAACGGAAAUGGGAUAAUGCAAUUGUCCCUCCUAUCAGCGGGGGAUUACUCAGUUCUCUACAAAUACACUCAGGGAUACAGGAAUUUUAAGCAUGCGAACAGUACACUUGCCUUUCAUAGCCUCGGCUGUUACUUAUUGUUAGAAUUAAUACUAAUCUAACGCGGCAAAAAAGAUAUUGAGAAAAUCAUCGAAAUUUCCUGUCGAAACCAUUAUGUUAAAAAAUUUCAAAAUAUAAAUUGAACGAAAAAAAAGAAUUAUAAAGUUUUAUGUUAAUGUGAUGUUAGGUCAAUUUUCAAAAUACAUAAUUCCAAAGUAAGUAAUUAUAGGAAAGAAAUCGAAUCAAAUUGCGCGGGAACAUCGAAUUCUCUGCUACCAUUUUCUCAUCAUCCAUUCUCUAUUUUCUAGGACGUCAUUGCUUUGGAAACGAAUUUUCAGCGAGUUCUCUGAUUACGAGAUGUAUGAUAAAGCUUUAUCGAUGACCUGUGUGUGUCACAUAAUUUCCUGGGAAUGACCAGCGCGAUGAAUCAUUGUGCUUGAAUCGAGAAAUAUCACGCAAGAGCGAUAAUAGACGAGAAAAUUGUCACUGUUAUCUCAAUAAAAAAUAUUUAAAACAA